rnacentral:rRNA from 1 species
AGAGUUUGAUUCUGGCUCAGGAUGAACGCUGGCGGCGUGCCUAACACAUGCAAGUCGAACGGACCUUAUAAUGACAGAGACUUCGGUCGAAGAAAUUUAAGGUUAGUGGCGGACGGGUGAGUAACGCGUGGAGAACCUGCCCUGUACUGGGGGGAUAACAGUGAGAAAUUACUGCUAAUACCGCAUAAGCGCACGGUACCGCAUGGUGCUGUGUGAAAAACUCCGGUGGUACAGGAUGGCUCCGCGUUGGAUUAGCCAGUUGGCGGGGUAACGGCCCACCAAAGCGACGAUCCAUAGCCGGCCUGAGAGGGUGAACGGCCACAUUGGGACUGAGACACGGCCCAGACUCCUACGGGAGGCAGCAGUGGGGAAUAUUGCACAAGUGGGGGGAACCCUGAUGACCAGCGACGCCGCGUGAAGGAAGAAGUAUCUCGGUAUGUAAACUUCUAUCAGCAGGGAAGAAAAUGACGGUACCUGACUAAGAAGCCCCGGCUAACUACGUGCCAGCAGCUGC